GGGGUGGUGGCGCAGUUGGCUAGCGCGUAGGUCUCAUAAUCCUGAGGUCGAGAGUUGGAGCCUCUCUCACCCCA
rnacentral:tRNA from 1 species